rfam:Triticum aestivum genome assembly, contig: Triticum_aestivum_CS42_TGACv1_scaffold_499750_6BL
GCCAUUGCAGGAUGAUGAGUUGAUCUCUUACAUCCUCAAUGCGCUUGACAUGGAGUAUCAGCCGUUGGUGUCUGCCCUUGAUGCAUGCACCAUCCCAGUCACCCUCGACGAGUUGUUCGCUCAAAUGAGCAACUUCGAUC